UUGUCCCGGGAAUAAGAUAAUAAUAAUAUAAUUUUGACCAACUUUUCACCCUGCAGCCUUGUUAAUUGAUGCCCUCCCCUCUUUCCCCAUUCGGUUUGCAAAGCUGACAUCACUUUUAUUACCUAUCAGUCUUUCAUACAUCUUUUUUUUAGCACACCGCUGAAUUUGCUUCUGAGAUUACAAUAAUCACAAUACAAUGCAGAACUGUCCAGGGUGUAUUCCUGCCUCUCGCCCAAUGCAUUCUGGGAUAGGCUGGGGAACUUCCCGCGACCCUGACUGGGAGUAAGUGGGUAUAGAUAAUGGAUGGAUCGAUAGAGAAUAGAAUGCAAAUGAGAGAGCCCUUACUGAAAUAACAGACCAGAGGAAAGUAUAAAAUGAACUGCGAGAUGACGCUCCCUCAUGUCUGACUGGAGGUUCCACAGAGAGAGAGAGAGAGAGAGAACGCGUGGAGAGAACGCAAGCAGCACCGGCCACGAUGACCUCAUCCAUGACAUCAGCGCUUGUGAUCAGCAUCCUGCUGCAAGUCGUCCGUCAGACCUGCGCUCAAGACCCCACGAGAAUAUUUCUCAUCCUGGACAACAACAAUUUUGACCAGCAAUAUAAGCCGAUCUUGAAAGAUCUCACUAAUGCACCUAUUCAACUGAGGCACAACGGGGUACGCUUUUCAGAAAGCAUACCUCCGAAGGUUAACGCGGUGGGGCAUAAAACUCUGUAUAUUAGUGCAAUGUUUAGUGAGGAUACAAAAGGUGAGAAACUGACCUGGGGAGAAGGUAAAUCUGCAGAGGACCUAGCUACAAUAGUCAGUGAAAUUUUCUCUGGGAGUCAAGAGCUCUUUGUCACGGUCGUGUUCCCUGAAAUAUGCUUAAAGACUUUCUGGGGUUACAAGUUUGUUGCAACAUUUGAGGCAAAGGUUCAAGGGUCAAACAGAAAUAUUGGUAUUGGAAUCCCAAGAGUAAAAAUCUAUUUAUUUGUCAAUCAAGAAAGGGAAAAUAAUAUAGAAGGUGAAAUAAACAAGACUCCUGUUUCAAAUACUAUAUGGGAUAAUACCGUGAACAGCAUUUUCUUUAAACUUGAAGAGAACGAGUUGGCACUGUUCUCAUCUAAAGAAAACUUGUGGAUUCAAAAGCCAGACGUACGUUUUGAUUCCGUUUUCAAAGGGUUGCAAAAAAUGAAAAUUGAGGAAGCUGAAAGCGUUACAGUUGUCAUAAAAGCAGAAUGUGUUAACAAGUACAGCGAAGAUAAUGUUGCUGACGCAGUGCACAGUAUUUUGGGGACAACGGGGCACGAACAUCAGCGAAUUAAAAUCGAGCUCAAAUGUUUGUCUGUGAACCGUCCCAAUCAAGAAGAGCACUUGUCAAAUACCCUAAUUGAUCAACUUAAAAACAAGUUCAAUAGGGCAUCCAUCUAUGGAAAGAGACCCAGUGUUGUUAUACACAUGGCCACCAAGGACUUUGAAAAUGAUGUGAAACGAAAAUUAAAGGUGGGACGCAGGACACAUUUAUAUGCAAGUUUACAGGGCACUCGUGUAACAAUAUUUGAUGCAAAAAACAAAAUUGUGGAAACGCCAAUCGAGGCCAUCAAAUCGGCUGAAGAAGUUUCAUUACAGGUCAAUUGUCACAGUAAUUUUGAAUCAGAAAUUUCAAGAAACCUCCCAACAAUCUGUGGUCAGUCCCCUACUGAAUUGGCGCAGUCAGUAAAAAACCUCUUCUCUGGUAUAGAUGGUUCAGUCCUGGAUAAGAAAUGGAUUGAACUGAGAUUGUACGCUUGUAAUUCCGGUACCACAACAGGCAAAACAUAUGUUGGAACAUUUUUGGAUACACUGAAGAAACACAUUAUUGAUGAAGUUUUAUCCUUUGUUGGAUGGAUUACACAACAAAACAAAGAAGUUAUAAUUGCUGUACCCAUGCAGUUAAAAUACUAUGCCGAAGAUAUCCUUCAAAAUAAAUAUCCUGAGGAACUGAAGGAUUUAAGAAAACAAAGCCUAGGAAUGUGGCAAUUGGAUCGUCUUAUGUAUGCCUAUGAGCACAACAUAUACGGCAGGUUCACUAUUCGGACCAAAUUGGAUGGCACAGAAUACAUAACAUUUCCAGUCCUACCAGCCACAGAAUAUGGGGUCUACAAGUUAAAAAAUUCCUAGAAGCUAGAUUAUUAACCAUGUUGUUAUGGGCCCCAUUUGUCCAAUCAAACAUUGGCUUUGUAGCUGCUGGGGAGGACCGCAGUAGAAAGUAGAGAAUAUGAUAAAUUUAGCCCAAGUAGAAAAUUUAGCUCAUCUGACUUUGAUUGAGAAACCACACCAGAAACCUAU